UGGUCAAGUUAUUAAGGGUGCAGGGCGGAUGCCUUGGCACUAGGAGCCGAUGAAGGACGUGAUAAGCUGCGAUAAGCUUCGGGGAGUUGCACGUAAACUUUGAUCCGAAGAUUUCCGAAUGAGGAAACUCACUUAGAGUAAUGUCUAAGUAUCAUUAAGUGAAUACAUAGCUUAAUGAGGGGAACUCAGGGAACUGAAACAUCUAAGUACCUGAAGGAAGAGAAAGAAAUUCGAUUCCGUAAGUAGCGGCGAGCGAACGCGGAUUAGCCCAAACCAAUAAAGUUUUCUUUAUUGGGGUUGCGGACAUAUCAUAACGAAGAGGUAUCGUAAUUGAAGAGGUUUGGAAAGACCCACCACAGAAGGUAAUAGUCCUGUAUGUUAAACGAGAAGACUUUAGAUAUGAUCCAGAGUACUACGGGACACGUGAAACCCUGUGGGAAGCAGGAGGGACCACCCUCCAAGGCUAAAUACUACCUAGUGACCGAUAGCGUAUAGUACCGUGGGGGAAAGGUGAAAAGAACCCCGGGAGGGGAG
rnacentral:rRNA from 1 species